rnacentral:snRNA from 1 species
AAGUACCUCAGAGGUGAUGACAA